rnacentral:rRNA from 1 species
CACGUAGGGGGCGAGCGUUGUCCGGAUUUCUUGGGCGUAAAGAGCUCGUAGGCGGCUCAGUAAGUCAGGUGUGAAAACUCCAGGCUCAACCUGGAGACGCCACCUGAUACUGCUGUGGCUAGAGUCCGGUAGGGGAGCGUGGAAUUCCUGGUGUAGCGGUGAAAUGCGCAGAUAUCAGGAGGAACACCAGCGGCGAAGGCGGCGCUCUGGGCCGGUACUGACGCUGAGGAGCGAAAGCGUGGGGAGCAAACAGG